CGUGACUAUCUUUGGUUAACGUAGUUUUCAUUUGUAAUUCUAUCUCUCUACAGUUCUAAAUCAGUAAAUCCGAUUGUAUAGUUUAAUGCUGUCUCUACCAUUGCACAUAAUUUUUUGCCUUGAUACCAUCAUCUGGAAGAGGUCUCUGCAAACUCGGUUCCACUCCAUCUAUGAAUAACAAGCGCAGCAGAACAGGUACAAGUAU